rnacentral:rRNA from 1 species
ACGAACGCUGGCGGCGUGCUUCAUACAUGCAAGUCGAACGAGAAUCUCUAGCUUGCUAGAGAGGAAAGUGGCGGACGGGUGAGUAAUAUGUAGGGAAUCUGCCCUUGAGAGGGGGACAACAGUUGGAAACGACUGCUAAUACCCCAUAUGAGAUAUUUUGAAAUAAGUAUCUUGAAAACUCCGGUGCUCAAGGAUGAGCCUGCAUCUGAUUAGCUGGUUGGCGGGGUAAAUGCCCACCAAGGCGACGAUCAGUAGCUGGUUUGAGAGGAUGAUCAGCCACAAUGGGACUGAGACACGGCCCAUACUCCUACGGGAGGCAGCAGUAGGGAAUUUUGCGCAAUGGGGGAAACCCUGACGCAGCAACGCCGCGUGUGUGAUUAAGCCCUUCGGGGUGUAAAACACUGUCAGUGGGGACGAAAUUUGACGGUACCCACAGAGGAAGCACCGGCUAACUCCGUGCCAGCAGCCGCGGUAAUACGGAGGGUGCAAGCGUUGUCCGGAAUCAUUGGGCGUAAAGCGUUCGUAGGCGGCAUAGCAAGUCUGGUGUUAAAUCCCGGGGCUCAACCUCGGUUCGGCACUGGAUACUGUUAGGCUAGAAUGUGGUAGAGGUGAAGGGAAUUCCUGGUGUAGCGGUGAAAUGCGUAGAUAUCAGGAGGAACACCGGUGGCGUAAGCGCUUCACUGGGCCAUUAUUGACGCUGAGGAACGAAAGCCAGGGGAGCGAAUGGGAUUAGAUACCCCAGUAGUCCUGGCCGUAAACGAUGGAUACUAGGUGUUGCGGGUAUCGACCCCUGCAGUGCCGAAGCUAACGCGAUAAGUAUCCCGCCUGGGGAGUACGCACGCAAGUGUGAAACUCAAAGGAAUUGACGGGGACCCGCACAAGCGGUGGAACAUGUGGUUUAAUUCGAAGCAACGCGAAGAACCUUACCAGGGCUUGACAUCUGAGGAAGCUCUGUGAAAGGAAGGAGUGACUUAGGGAGCUUAAAGACAGGUAGUGCACCGUUGUCGUCAGCUCGUGUCGUGAGAUGUUGGGUUAAGUCCCGCAGCGAGAGCAUCCCUCGUUAUUAGUUGCUGAUAGUGGCUUGCUGCUAUUAAGCUCUCUAAUAAGACUGCCGGUGACAAACCGGAGGAAGGUGAGGACGACGUCAAAUCAUCAUGCCCCUUAUGCUCUGGGCUACACACGUGUUACAAUGGCUGGUACAACGAGCAGCGAACUUGUGAAAGUAAGCGAAUCUCUUAAAGCCAGUCUCAGUUCGGAUUGGAGUCUGCAACUCGACUCCAUGAAGUCGGAAUCGCUAGUAAACGCAGAUCAGCACGCUGCGUUGAAUACGUUCCCGGGUCUUGUACACACCGCCCGUCACACCAUGGAAGUCGACCACGCCCGAAGUGGGUGGGCUAACCGUAAGGAAGCAGCCUCCUAAGGCAGGGUUGGUGACUGGGGUG